UCUUAGAAUGUGCAAGAAAACACUAAAUCUCUUACCGAUUACUAACAACUCUUGGUAAGCUAGUCCCCUUUUCUUCUCUUUUUCAUUCUUUCUCUCUCUAGCUUUCUUUCUUGAGAAUUUCGAUCUUUGAGGGUGAAAAUGGGUGAGGAAGAGUGGUGGAAGAGGUCUCUAUUUAUAAAGGCAGAGAAUCAUUAGAUUUGUGAC
rnacentral:lncRNA from 1 species